GUGUGUGUGUGUGUGUGUGUGUGUGUUGUGUUUGUGUGUCAGUGUAGCGAAGGGAGAGAGCAGUGACCCCACCCGGUCUUGAACACAGGUUUCCAAACUAAAGUUUACAGUUGGGAUCCUCCAGAAGAGAAGAAAGAUGCUUCACUCCUGAGUCUCCUGCUUUACUCCCACUCAGCUGCAGCUCUCUCAUGUGUGAGGGGUUUGAUCUCAGUGCUGAUGCAAGAGCUCUGAAGCCUUCAUCUCCAAUACUGCAGUGUGACAGACUGUAGAGAGAAUUUACAGUUGGGAUCCUCCAGAAGAGAAGAAAGAUGCUUCACUCCUGAGUCUCCUGCUUUACUCCAACUCAGCUGCAGCUCUCUCAUGUGUGAGGGGUUUGAUCUCAGUGCUGAUG